AGAAAGACCCGUCUCCCGGAAAAUCUGUUCUUCCUCCAGCGCAGCCCUGAAACUCAAGCCCCAAGAGGGACAUUGUCCUCCACCAUGUCAUUGUGCACACAGAAUCUCAUGUAUGGAGGAAGAGAUAUCAGGGAUGCACCCACAGAGGAAAGACC